rnacentral:rRNA from 1 species
GUCAUGGCUCAGGAUGAACGCUAGCGACAGGCCUAACACAUGCAAGUCGAGGGGCAGCGGGGAGGUAGCAAUACCUUUGCCGGCGACCGGCGCACGGGUGAGUAACACGUAUGCAAUCCACCUGUAACAGGGGGAUAACCCGGAGAAAUCCGGACUAAUACCCCAUGAUAUGGGCUCUCCGCAUGGAGGGUCCAUUAAAGAGAGCAAUCUUGGUUACAGACGAGCAUGCGCUCCA